UCUGCCAAAGGACACUGCUUGAAUGGUGACAAUAAUACUAACAAUGGUCACUGGAGCAUUUUAUUGUCCCUUUAUGACAUGCCACUGUGUAGCAUUGUUCAAAAGCACUAUACAAGGUCUUCUUCCUUUAAUCUUUACACUCAGCCCAUGAAAGGGAACUGCCAUCAUCCCCACUUGAUAUUCGGAGAAAUUAUGGGAUGGAGAAGUUGAGUAAAUAGAGUCAGCAAUUUGCAGCACCUGGACUAUGACCUAGAUGCGUCGGCUCCAAGUUUUCAGUGUCGGUCUCUCAGCUACCUUCUAAGCAAGACUCUUGAGUUAAGCUGCUCAGCCUUGGAACUGCCAAGCUAAGCUAUAUGGGUCCAUAUGAGCUGAAAUUCGCAAGGUGUCUAAGGAAAGGCAGACAUCUUCUUCACUGAGUCCUACACUGUGCUCUGGCUCCUCUCCAAAUGAAUGACUUCAAUAUAUGUGGAACGCUGUCCAACAAGCCAGGCACAAGCUUCUUGCUCUUGAGGGCAGACACGCUGCUUUAUUUCUCUUGUUGCACCUCGCUACGCCCAUCACAGUGCACUCCACCCAGCAGGGCCCGAGGGCCGAGGAGCACAGAGAAUGUCACAGAUCAGCGGUUAUCGAUGUCAUCGUUGUUGGAUAGGACAGAGAGAAAUGGAGAGAAGAGGAGAAGACAGAGAAGGGGAGAGAAAGAUAGACACCUGCAGACCUGUUUCACCGCCUGUGAAGUGACUCCCCUGCAGGUGGGAAACCGGGGGCUCGAACCAGGAUCCUUAUGCUGGUCCCUGCGCUUUGUGCCACAUGAACUUAACCCAUUGUGCUAGUGCCUGACUCCCCAUCAAUGAAUUUCUCGUGUGUUUGUGUAGGUCAGAGAACCACUUUUU